UACGGAGGAGGCAAGCGUUAUCCGGAAUUAUUGGGCGUAAAGCGUCCGCAGGUGGCUAUUCAAGUCUUCGGUCAAAGACUGGGGCUUAACCCUGGAAAGGCCGUGGAAACUGAAGAGCUAGAGUGCAGUAGGGGUAGAGGGAAUUCCCGGUGUAGCGGUGAAAUGCGUAGAGCUCGGGAAGAACAUCGGUGGCGAAAGCGCUCUGCUGGACUGCAACUGACACUCAGGGACGAAAGCUAGGGGAGCGAAUGGG
rnacentral:rRNA from 1 species